rnacentral:rRNA from 1 species
UACGUAGGUGACCAGCGUUGUCCGGAUUUACUGGGCGUAAAGGGCGCGUAGGCGGCCUUCUAAGUCGAACGUGAAAUCCCAGGGCUCAACCCUGGACCUGCAGUGGGUACGGGCAGACUAGAGUGCGGUAGGGGAGAUCGGAAUUCCUGGUGUAGCGGUGAAAUGCGCAGAUAUCAGGAGGGACACCGGUGGCGAAGGCGGAUCUCUGGGCCGUAACUGACGCUGAGGAGCGAAAACAUGGGGAGCGAACAGG